AGGGAACUCAAACUCCUAGCCUUGCUACCUAAGUUGUUUUACACGCAAUAAGGUAUCUUGGCCGUGGCGAUGUCAGCCACCAGGGUGCAGAGUGGAAACGCUCGCAUCUCCCGUAUUUGGAAGGUGUUAUGGUACCGCAACU
rnacentral:ncRNA from 2 species